UACGAAGGGUGCAAGCGUUACUCGGAAUUACUGGGCGUAAAGCGUGCGUAGGUGGUUUGUUAAGUCUGUUGUGAAAGCCCCGGGCUCAACCUGGGAAUGGCAAUGGAUACUGGCAAGCUAGAGUGCGGUAGAGGGUAGUGGAAUUCCCGGUGUAGUGGUGAAAUGCGUAGAGAUCGGGAGGAACACCAGUGGCGAAGGCGGCUACCUGGACCAGCACUGACACUGAGGCACGAAAGCGUGGGGAGCAAACAGG
rnacentral:rRNA from 1 species